rnacentral:misc_RNA from 1 species
UUUUAGUUUCCCUAAAAAUUUUUACAAACUUAAUAGAUGCUGUACCCUAACUCAAAUUAAAGAAAAAAACGAAACAAUAAUUGCCAAAUACACUGUCACAUCAAGUGGCAAGAAACCAACAGGAACAUGGAUCAGUCCAGUUACUCCAGUAGCAAAACAGCUGCAUGUUGUACACCACUAGGUGAUUUCAUUUGAAGGUUGUAAUUUUAUGAAGAUUCACAAGCUAAAAAGAACCUUAGAAAAUUGAAAACUCUAGUGUUGAUG